rnacentral:tRNA from 1 species
GUGCGCGGAGGGUACGGAGGAACGCCCGCCGGUCGGCGGCCGGCAGGAGCGCCAGCACGCGCUCCUCGCCGGCCCGGAUGCCGGCCCGCGUGCG